UUGAAUGGAGCCUAUGCUCUAAACAAUCAAAUUAGAGCCUACCUUUAAAUAGUGUUGAGAAAUAUUGUUUCAAUACUGUAAAUCUUUGUGAUAGCCUUAAAAUAUAUUUUCAUAUUUAUUUAUAAAGUUUAAAACUUCAAAAAUAAUAUAGAUUGACACAUCUAUGAAAACUUGAAAAUUAACAGUCAAAAAAUACAUUAUAAAAUACACUAUUUCCAAAACUUGAAAUUUAUUUUUUUCUCAUGUC
rnacentral:lncRNA from 1 species